rnacentral:tRNA from 1 species
GCUAUAGCUCAGUUGGUUAGAGUGCCAGGUUGUGGCCCUGGAGGUCGAGGGUUCGAAUCCCUCUAGC